CGGGUGCGUAACGCGUAUGCAACCUACCCAUAACAGGGGGAUAACACUGAGAAAUUGGUACUAAUACCCCAUAACAUCUCGAGUGGCAUCACUUGGGGUUGAAAGCUUCGGUGGUUAUGGAUGGGCAUGCGUUGUAUUAGCUAGUUGGAGAGGUAACGGCUCACCAAGGCGACGAUACAUAGGGGGACUGAGAGGUUAACCCCCCACAUUGGUACUGAGACACGGACCAAACUCCUACGGGAGGCAGCAGUGAGGAAUAUUGGUCAAUGGACGGAAGUCUGAACCAGCCAUGCCGCGUGCAGGAUGACGGCUCUAUGAGUUGUAAACUGCUUUUGUACGAGGGUAAACCCGAAUACGUGUAUUCGGCUGAAAGUAUCGUACGAAU
rnacentral:rRNA from 1 species